GACGAACGCUGGCGGCGUGCCUAAUACAUGCAAGUAGAACGCACAGUUUAUACCGUAGCUUGCUCCACCAUAGACUGUGAGUUGCGAACGGGUGAGUAACGCGUAGGUAACCUGCCUGGUAGCGGGGGAUAACUAUUGGAAACGAUAGCUAAUACCGCAUAAUAUUGAUUAUUGCAUGAUAAUUGAUUGAAAGAUGCUAUUGCAUCACUACCAGAUGGACCUGCGUUGUAUUAGCUAGUAGGUGAGGUAACGGCUCACCUAGGCGACGAUACAUAGCCGACCUGAGAGGGGGAUCGGCCACACUGGGACUGAGACACGGCCCAUACUCCUACGGGAGGCAGCAGUAGGGAAUCUUCGGCAAUGGACGAAAGUCUGACCGAGCAACGCCGCGUGAGUGAAGAAGGGUUUCGGAUCGUAAAGCUCUGUUGUAAGAGAAGAACGGGUGUGAGAGUGGAAAGUUCACACUGUGACGGUAUCUUACCAGAAAGGGACGGCUAACUACGUG
rnacentral:rRNA from 1 species